GAUGCCCUGGCAGUCAGAGGCGAUGAAGGGCGUACUAAUCUGCGAUAAGCGCCGGUAAGGUGAUAUGAACCGUUAUAACCGGCGAUACCCGAAUGGGGAAACCCAGUGUGAUUCGUCACACUAUCAUUAACUGAAUCCAUAGGUUAAUGAGGCGAACCGGGGGAACUGAAACAUCUAAGUACCCCGAGGAAAAGAAAUCAACCGAGAUUCCCCCAGUAGCGGCGAGCGAACGGGGAGGAGCCCAGAGCCUGAAUCAGCAUGUGUGUUAGUGGAAGCGUCUGGAAAGGCGCGCGAUACAGGGUGACAGCCCCGUACACAAAAGCGCAUGUGCUGUGAGCUCGAUGAGUAGGGCGGGACACGUGGUAUCCUGUCUGAAUAUGGGGGGACCAUCCUCCAAGGCUAAAUACUCCUGACUGACCGAUAGUGAACCAGUACCGUGAGGGAAAGGCGAAAAGAACCCCGGCGAGGGGAGUGAAAAAGAACCUGAAACCGUGU
rnacentral:rRNA from 2 species